rnacentral:lncRNA from 1 species
AGGAGGGGGGUGAUUGCUAAAGGUCCAGUUUUAGUGAGAAGCCGUGGCUUUCUGGUAGAACCUCUCCAAUAGCCAGUAUGCAACUGUCCAGGCACAGCAGUAGAAGGAUAACCAGAAGGGGCUGUCACAGCUGUCACAGCCACUCCUCAGCCUGCUCAAGCCAACACACAGAAACAAAGGAGGCAGCUAGCCUGACGGCAAGCAGAUAAACACCAUGCUCUUAACACAGAACAACCUGCCACUUGGUGUCAAUUCAACAUCAUCUGCCCUGGCGAAGACUGACCUGCUUUCAGUAUAUGGUUUGCCUUUUUGUCUGGAAAGCAUUAGCCAGCAUCACUGUCACAGAACAAUCUACUGACAUGGGAUCCUGUAUGGCACUGUCUCAGAUCAAAGGCCUCACUCUGCAGGUGUCCCCAAGAAUCAUGACAAUAGAAUUUAGAAGAAGCUAUAUCUGAAUGGAGUGAACUUAGUAUUAAGCAAGUGAGUCUGGGGAGUACAAAGGAUGAGCUUCUGGGGUCUGUUUGAUUUGUUUCAUGGGACCAUGGCAUCCAUGGCUCAGCUGCUGUGAAAAUCGAUUGCUAUUAGCAGUACACACUCUUUUACACUUAGCCUUUGUCCACUCAACAUUAUAAUGAUUGUAUUUUCUCACGUGGUAGUACAUAGAUGCAAUCAGUUUCUUCUUCUAUAUAGUGUCCAGUUGUAUGACUGUAUCACAAUGUACUUACCCAUUCUUCUAUUAAUGGAUCUUUGCAGUAUUUACAGUUAUUACAAAUAAUGCCACCAUGUACUCUUUUUUUUUUUAACCUAUCUGAAUAUACACUCUUGUGUCUAUUGGAUAUCUACCUUGCAAUGAAAUUAUUGGGUCAAAGAAUAUAUAAAAGUUCUAUGACAGUAGAUAAUGUAAACAGCUUUCCAAAGUGAUUUGUGCCCUAGAAGGACUAUUUCACAACUCUGUAGGUGUGAGAAUAGUUUUAUAUUAUUUUCUGGAAGCCUAAUUACUUUCUUUUUUACUUUUAUAUCACUAGUCGACCUGGAAUUGAUCUUAUAUUAUUUGAUGGGUUCAGGCUUAGUUGUUUUUUUUUCAUAUUGAAAUCAACUGACCCUUUGAUUUAAAAAUAUUUCUUUUCUACUCCUUUCUCCAACAGAGCAUGAUGUGAUGUUUCAUUUGUUUGAUUUUUUUCUAAUAAAGGAG